AACGCUAGCUACAGGCUUAACACAUGCAAGUCGCGGGGCAGCAUGAAUUUAGCUUGCUAAAUUUGAUGGCGACCGGCGCACGGGUGAGUAACGCGUAUCCAACCUUCCCUUAUCCACGGGAUAGCCCGUCGAAAGGCGGAUUAAUACCGUAUGAGGUCAUUUGAUGGCAUCUGAUUAUGACGAAAGGUUUGGCGGAUAAGGAUGGGGAUGCGUCCGAUUAGCUUGUUGGCGGGGUAACGGCCCACCAAGGCGACGAUCGGUAGGGGUUCUGAGAGGAAGGUCCCCCACAUUGGAACUGAGACACGGUCCAAACUCCUACGGGAGGCAGCAGUGAGGAAUAUUGGUCAAUGGGCGAGAGCCUGAACCAGCCAAGUAGCGUGCAGGACGACGGCCCUAUGGGUUGUAAACUGCUUUUAUGCGGGGAUAAAGUGGGGGACGCGUCCCUUUUUGCAGGUACCGCAUGAAUAAGGACCGGCUAAUUCCGUGCCAGCAGCCGCGGUAAUACGGAAGGUCCGGGCGUUAUCCGGAUUUAUUGGGUUUAAAGGGAGCGUAGGCUGGAGAUUAAGCGUGUUGUGAAAUGCCGCGGCUCAACCGUGGCACUGCAGCGCGAACUGGUUUCCUUGAGUGCGCUGAAAGUGGGCGGAAUUUGUGGUGUAGCGGUGAAAUGCUUAGAUAUCACGAAGAACUCCGAUUG
rnacentral:rRNA from 1 species